rnacentral:rRNA from 1 species
UGGGGAAUCUUCCGCAAUGGACGAAAGUCUGACGGAGCAACGCCGCGUGAGCGAAGAAGGUCUUCGGAUCGUAAAGCUCUGUCAUUCGGGACGAAGUUGCCUAUUGCGAACAGUGGUAGGCAGUGACGGUACCGAAAGAGGAAGCCACGGCUAACUACGUGCCAGCAGCCGCGGUAAUACGUAGGUGGCGAGCGUUGUCCGGAAUUACUGGGCGUAAAGGGCGCGUAGGCGGGAUAGCAAGUCUGUUGUGAAAUUGCGGGGCUCAACCCCGUAUUGGCAAUGGAAACUGCUAUUCUUGAGUGCAGGAGAGGAAAGCGGAAUUCCCAGUGUAGCGGUGAAAUGCGUAGAUAUUGGGAGGAACACCAGUGGCGAAGGCGGCUUUCUGGCCUGUGUCUGACGCUGAGGCGCGAAAGCCAGGGGAGCGAACGGG